UACAGAGGGUGCGAGCGUUGUCCGGAAUCACUGGGCGUAAAGGGCGCGUAGGCGGCUUGAUAAGCGUGCGGUGAAAGCCCGGGGCUCAACCCCGGGCCUGCAGUGGAUACGGGUUGGCUAGAGGCAGGCAGGGGAGAACGGAAUUCCUGGUGUAGCGGUGAAAUGCGCAGAUAUCAGGAGGAACACCGGUGGCGAAGGCGGUUCUCUGGGCCUGUACUGACGCUGAGGAGCGAAAGCGUGGGGAGCGAACAGG
rnacentral:rRNA from 1 species